rnacentral:piRNA from 1 species
UGCUGGGACUUAGUGCCUGGAUGCCCCACA